GGCUUUAUAGUCAAUAAUGACAUUAGACUGCAAUUCUAAAGGAGUAGAUAUCUACUAAGGCUU
rnacentral:tRNA from 1 species